GAAUGAAUAGAACAAUAAAAGAGACCCUUACUAAAUUGACCUUAGAGACUGGUUUAAAAGAUUGGAGACGCCUCCUAUCCUUAACUCUGUUAAAGGCCCAAAAUACACCUAACCGUUUUGGGCUCACUCCAUAUGAAAUCCUCUACGGAGGACCUCCCCCUUUGUCAACCUUGCUUAACUCCUUCUCCCCCUCCGAUCCUAAAACUGACCUACAGGCUCGGCUAAAAGGACUCCAAGCAGUACAGGCCCAAAUCUGGGCCCCCUUGGCAGAACUGUACCAACCAGGACAUCCACAGACCAGUCACCCCUUCCAGCCAUAAAGGUUGACGGAAUCUCCACUUAGAUCCACGCAUCCCACGCCAAGGCUGCUCCAGAGACGUCCGGACCAACACCACUUGAGACAUGGAAACUCCGACGCUCUGCGGACCCGCUCAAGAUAAGACUCUCUCGUAUCUAACUCCUUACUUAUUGUUUGCCCUUCUUCCCUGCGCCGUCUCUAGUGUAGUUUUUGACGCUAACCCCCACCGGCCAUUUAGCCUGACCUGACAGAUAAUUAAUUUUAAUAAUCAAGAGGUCUUAAAUAAGACCUCCGAGAAUGCUCCUAUAAAGACUUGGUUUCCAGACCUCUAUUUCAACCUAAAAAAAAAAUAUAGCAGAAAAGGUAAAAGACACAGGCCCCCGGUUUACUGGUCCCACAGGAGUCCUAUUAGGAACUCCUCAAGAUAGACAAGAAUGAAAAGGACAGGCUAGAAAGGUGUCCAUCAGCCGGAACGGGUUUUAUGCCUGUCCCGGAUUCAGGACAGGACAAAUGAAAAAAACUUGUAGAGAUCUGACUCACUUGUAUUGCAAAAGCUGGUCCUGUGUGACUACUAAUAAUAGAGAGUAGAAAUAGGCCACAAAACCUUAGUAUAUAACCAUGUCCUUUGUCCAGCCCUGUACCACAACCCGAUAUUCGGAAAAUUGCAACCUGGUUCGCAUCAAGUUUGAAGAUGCGGCAAAA